rnacentral:misc_RNA from 1 species
UAAUAAGUGUUUUAUGGCACUUUUAAUCCAUAUCCACCUUGUGUGCAAUGUCAGUCGAUCUUCUUCAUGGAGAUCGACCAAACAUCAACCUUAUUUUUUAACUCUUGUCUGAAAAAUAUUAUGAAUAAACAAUUCAAAAUA